rnacentral:lncRNA from 1 species
GUCAGACCCAUAACCAAUCGAAUUUCAAACCCCACCCAUGAAUACCGCCAUGCUGAACACGUCAAAAGGCCAGUGCGUCAGUGUCUAUUGGAAGACCAUGGUCCGACUCCGUUUCCGGGAACCAUGUUUAAUUUCAUGUGUAUCAAUUAGCCUAAUGACAUAGUUUCUCCGAGGUCAGGCUACCGGAAUCGCACAUUCAGUGAUUCCCGGACUCUCCUCAACGCAGACAGGGUCAAGUCUUCAGGAGAGUCAGCAGACCCUGCUGAAGGAGAACGUAGACCCAGGCUCCAUCAGGACCAGGGGAGGCAGGCAGAAUGUCCUGCCCUCAGACCCUGCUGGAGGAGAACGUAGACCCAGGCUCCAUCAGGACCAGGGGAGGCAGGCAGAAUGUCCUGCCCUCAGACCCUGCUGGAGGAGAACGUAGACCCAGGCUCCAUCAGGACCAGGGGAGGCAGGCAGAAUGUCCUGCCCCCAGACCCUGCUGGAGGAGAACGUAGACCCAGGCUCCAUCAGGACCAGGAGGCAGGCAGAAUGUCCUGCCCUCAGACCCUGCUGGAGGAGAACUCAGACCCAGACUCCAUCAGGACCAGGGGAGGCAGGCAGAAUACCCUGCCGCGACACUGUCUGAGCAACUCUUCGUCCUGGAGAUUCCCCCCCUCCCCGACUAGCAGCCUUCACACUGGAGACAGAUCACAUCUCUGGAUCCCCACAGCAGGAAGAGUAUGGCAGCGCCACCAGGAGAAGGCCUUAGUCCAGCCAGGACAGUAUUGAUUGCAUGGAAGUUUCUUCUCACAGCCUCAUAACCAGCCUCUAAUGCCUCUGUUUAGCCUGCCGGACCUGUCUAACCUGGUUUAGCCUGUCUAACCUGGUUUAACCUGCCUGACCUGUCUAACCUGGUUUAGC